UUUCAUUACUAUUGUCAGCUUAGAUUGUGUGUUUUGUUUAUUUCCUAGGUGUGACCAAGUGAGGUUUUAUUCAUCUUGUUGUGUUGCAGAUCAGCUUCUGUCCCAGAUGCCUGGGGGAUAGCUCAUGUGAAUCCGAUUUUUAAAAAAGGCUCCAGAGGAGACCCCGGCAAUCACCGGCCGGGAUCCCCAGCGAGUCCAGAUGGAUUUAGAGCCCCGCAGAGACUUCACGCCUUUGGGAAUGAUGCAGCCAGCCCGGAUUGUCAGCGGCACAGGGCUCCGGGCGGCCUUUGCAAAGCAAGCUGGUGUUUAUUCAUCCCCUGCAAUCCAGGACUAACAGGGCACACACACAAGAAUAGGACGUGCAGUGGAUCCAAGCUACCCGGGUGUCCGGAAGGGUUUGGAUCCAGUUCCACAUGGGAAACCAUUCAUUACAUUGAAGAAGAGGGGGAUUAAUAGGAGAACUGGAAGGUAUCUAGGUGGGGGGAUCAGGCUGUGUGAUUGUUGCAGAGCCCAAGUGGGCCCCUGUGAUCCUGUCUGCACAGAGAAUGGCCGACACUCUGUCUCCUGAUGGCCUGGGCCCUUCCCCUGCAAAGGUGCC